rnacentral:rRNA from 1 species
UACGUAGGGGGCAAGCGUUGUCCGGAAUUAUUGGGCGUAAAGCGCGUGUAGGCGGUCCGGUAAGUCGGCUGUGAAAGUCCAGGGCUCAACCCUGGGAUGCCGGUCGAUACUGCCGGACUAGAGUUCGGAAGAGGCGAGUGGAAUUCCCGGUGUAGCGGUGAAAUGCGCAGAUAUCGGGAGGAACACCAGUGGCGAAGGCGGCUUCCUGGACCG